GACGAACGCUGGCGGCGUGCCUAAUACAUGCAAGUCGAACGCAGUGGGGACGGGUGAGUAACACGUGGGUAACCUCCCAUCAGAGGGGAUAACACUUUGAAACAGGUGCUAAACCGAUACUGAUGGAUGGACCCGCGGUGCCUUAGCUAGUUGGUGAGGUAACGGCUCACCAAGGCCACGAUGCCUAGCCGACCGGGGAGGGUAAUCGGCCACACUGGAACUGAGACACGGCCCAGACUCCUACGGGAGGCAGCAGUAGGGAAUGUUCGGCAAGGGACGAAAGUCGAACCGGGCAACGCCGCGUGAGUGAAGAAGGUUUUGGGAUCGUAAAACUCGGUGUUUAGGGAAGCGGUAUCUAACCAGAAAGCCACGGCUAACUACGUGCCAGCAGCCGCGGUAAUUC
rnacentral:rRNA from 1 species